rnacentral:rRNA from 1 species
AAUGGGCGAAAGCCUGACGGAGCAACGCCGCGUGAGGGAUGAAGGCCUCUGGGCUGUAAACCUCUUUUAUCAAGGAAGAAGAUCUGACGGUACUUGAUGAAUAAGCCACGGCUAAUUCCGUGCCAGCAGCCGCGGUAAUACGGGAGUGGCAAGCGUUAUCCGGAAUUAUUGGGCUUAAAGCGUCCGCAGGCGGCCCUUCAAGUCUGCUGUUAAAAAGUGGAGCUUAACUCCAUCAUGGCAGUGGAAACUGUUGGGCUUGAGUGUGGUAGGGGCAGAGGGAACUCCCGGUGUAGCGGUGAAAUGCGUAGAUAUCGGGAAGAACACCAGUGGCGAAGGCGCUCUGCUGGGCCAUCACUGACGCUCAUGGACGAAAGCCAGGGGAGCGAAAGGGAUU